rnacentral:rRNA from 1 species
CCUACGGGGGGCGGCAGUGAGGAAUAUUGGUCAAUGGAGGCAACUCUGAACCAGCCAUGCCGCGUGCAGGAAGAAUGUCCUAUGGAUUGUAAACUGCUUUUGUACGGGAAGAAAAAGUGUUACGUGUAACAUAUUGACGGUACCGUAAGAAUAAGGAUCGGCUAACUCCGUGCCAGCAGCCCCGGUC